AACAAAUUUGGAAAAUAGAUCCGGGGUCCAACCGUCCAAAUAUUUAAUUGAAAAUAGCAAAACCUAGGUUUAUUAAUCAAGGAAAGGUGCGAAACUCGGAGUCGGAGAGGAAGGCCCAAUAUUUAACACGAGAUCCGGCGAGCGCCUGUUCGUCGGAUUUCCACCAUUGCUCAGCAGAUCUACGGCGACGAAGAGAUGAUGAAGGCCUCUUCUACUCUCGCCGCGUCGCUCAUCGCAGCUUCGUCCCUCGCUCUCUCCUCCUCCGUUUCCGCCGCCUCCCCUGCCAUUACAACCGCCGACCCGGUAAAAUCCAUGGAGAAGGCAAGCUAUGCUCCAAAAUUCGACGGAUUGAGGUUCAUAGAGACCUUGGUGACGGCCCACAGAUGAGUUUGUUGUUGAAAUUGUGUUGUUUGAGUAUGUCAUUCUAUACGGAUUGUAGGUUCUUCCAAUUUGAUUGAUUUACUCAUGGAUGAUAGUUUUCCAAUGUAUCCCUUUGAGUUUUUGCUACUAUAACUUUACUUUUUCAUUUUAAUCUUACUUGCCAUUUGAUGCCUAUUGCUUCUCAUUCACUUGAUUGUUCACAAUUUGGUGGAUAGGCUGUCACCGAUCUGAUUAGAAAUUGAUGUACCUUGGGUGUCAUUACUCACAUUUGUUUUUUUUUUUUUGUUGCAACCCAUCAAAACUAGUAGUAAUUGAGAGGAAUGUAUUGUGCAUCUGAAUGAAACGUAGGAUUGUGUCUCGUUUCUUUUGGUGCUCAAGUGAAGGUGAAUAAUAGGAAUGGUUUGAAAACGUAGAGCACCAACAUUGCUAGAAUUAUAAUUGGAGCCUGGAGGUAGCACCGACCUUGAUGCAUAAGCACAACCAAACUAGUCUGGAAAUGGGCCAUGUUUUUUAGUGAGUUGUAAUAGCUGUCGCAUAUAUAUUCUUUAUUGAAAGCACAUGUCGAUGAUUACACGCGGCAUAGGCUUUUAGUGACAAGUUGCGAAUUGGCAAAAGAGCAUGAACCCAAUUCUUGAAAACUAUGACCGUUAGAUUCUAGUGUGUGGGGUAUGUCCUAGAAAAAUUUAAAUUUUAAUAGUGUCAUAUGUAAAUUGGAGGUGCUGACAGAUUUGUUUAUAUACGGUUUCGAUUAGUACCGUCUGGAAGUGGGAACAACUGGAGUUGGAAUCAAAAUCAGUUUCAGACUCUUGAUUCUGUGCAUCUAUUUGAUUUUACAUAAUUUCAUAUUAGUGGUGAAAUGUCAGGUCAAUUUUGAAAUGAAGUAAUCCUACAUAAACUAUGCAAUAAAAAUGAAGUUGAAUUCAAUCACAAUUAAUAGUAUAAUUAAAUUCUCGAACUAUCAUAAAACUAAUAGGUAGUAUAUUCCAAUAAUCAACUUUGAGUCAAAUAUAGAUCAACCUUGGGAGGGAUAGGAAGGAGGCUGCGGUGCAUGGUGACAGUGGGAGAAGGCGGUAAAGAUGACAUGAGGAUUUUUGGAGCGUAUGAGAGGAAAAGAAUGCAGCAAAGAGGAUAUUUGUAGGCCAAGCAACCAAAAUUCAAGGAAAGUAUCACCAAAAUGUCAAGGAAUGACACCUCUUUUCCUAUUAUUUUA